GCCGGGCAUGGUGGCACAUGCCUGUAAUUCCAGCUACUCGGGAGGCUGAGGCAGGUGAAUCACUUGAACCUGGGAGGCGGAGGUUGCAGUGAGCUAAGAUCAUGCCACUGCAUUCCAGCCUGGGUGACAGAGUGAGACCCUGUCUCAA
ensembl:misc_RNA Metazoa_SRP Metazoan signal recognition particle RNA